UGCUCAUGCUAGGCGCGACAGCCGCCCACCUGCGUUUUUCCGAGAAAAGACUCGGUUUUCGUGUUGUGUGCGGAGAGAGUGCUACUAGCGGAUUGACGACGCUGGAUUAACACCACUAAACAACGUAAAUCGGUGUUAACGGCUCCCAUUGCGGACCCGCAUUCGUCACACAGGAGGAGUCUCCAAGAAAGCGACAGAUGAAAGAGACUCAUCGGUGUCGCUUCUGCAGUUACUCAAGUUACCACACGCCCAACGUUAAGAAGCACGAGAGGAUUCACACCGGGGAGAGGCCCUACGUGUGCAAAGUGUGCUUCAGGGGAUUUUCGGAACAGAGCAACUUGUACGGGCAUUCAAGAAGCGUUCACGAGCGUCAGAGGAGCCGCACCUACUCGGAGUGAAAAACCGGGCUUGUUGCUGUUGUCCUUGCAUGACGGACUGGCACUGGGAACGGGACAGAGAGAAGAGACGCACUUACUCAGUCUGCGGGAGUGCACUGGUACGGGAGGAUCAACCACAGCACCACUCGCAUGAGGUGUGAGCCGCCACGCCCGCACGCCCCCUGCGCCUGCUGCCGAGGAGCCUCCAGGGAGGCACCGGUGCAGUUUCUGCGAUUACUCCAGUCACUACAAGGCUCGCUCCAGAGUCCAUGAGAGAACACACAUCGGGGAGAAGGAUCGAAGGAUCGAAAGGAUUUUCGCAAAAGGUCUUCCUGGACAGACAUCUGGUAGCCAUCCACAAGGGCCAGAGGAACUUCACGUGUUCCGUCUGCGGGUGCGCGUUUUUCUCCAAGGACACCCUGGACAGACAUUCCAAAGCGGUGCACGAGGACCAGAGGAACUUCGCGUGCUCCGUCUGCGGGUGGGCGUUCCAACGGAAGGAUCAUUUACGGCGUCACCAGAGGGUGCACAUUAAAUGAUGUGGAACGGAUUGAGUCCGAGCGAGUGCACUGAUGCCUCUCUCCUCUACAUCGAGAUGUCUUCUGGCGUUGACGCCAUUGGAAGAACUUUUCUGAUUAAGCUUCCUGUUCCUAGUACCCCUUUCGUAUGGGCAUGAUCUGUCGCGUGGUCAUUGAUGAGUGCCCGUGUCACUUUUUCUGAUUAGUAUAUUCAACAGUGGUUCGCGGAACACGUCAGCGCGAUGUUCAAGAGAUAUUUGGCGGCGUCGUUUUUACAUUACUGCUUGUCACGUGUGCUCACUCGAAGAGCUCAUCCCCGCUUUGUGUGCGCAAUGUUGUGUCAGCAUCUCAACUGUACCUCCGGGUACUUCCGGGUGUGAACCGCUCUGACCGCAGCCCCGUACUUGGCGGAGCUCCAAAGAGGCACCGGUGCAGCUUCUGUCACUACUCCAGUGAUUACACGGCUAAUGUGAAAAUGCACACGAGAAUUCACACUGGAGAGAGACCUUAUGUUUGCCAAGUGUGCUUCAGGGGAUUUUCGCAGAAGGCCUCCCUGGACAGACAUUCGGAAGCAGUUCACGAGUGCCAGAGGAACUACCCGUGCUCCGUCUGUCGGUGCGCAUUUAAACAGAAGCAUCAUCUACAGCGUCACCUGAGAGUACACUUUAAAUAAGGGUGGAAGACUUACGGAUUAUGUCUGCGUGAGUGUACUGAUGCUCUCCGUUGCGCCAAAAUGUCUUCUGGUGUUGAUGUCAUUGGAAGAACUUUCUUUUUAUUAAGCUUCCUCUUCCUAAAAUUCCUGUCACGUAAUCAUUGAAGAGUGCCCAUGUCGCGUUUCUGAUUAUAUUCGACAGCGGUUCGCGAAACAAGCCUGCACGACGUUCAAUAUUUUGUUUCAUCUUUUUAACGUUACUGUCUGUCGCGUGUGCUCACUCAAACUCAUCCCCGCUUUGUGCAAUACUGUUUCAGCAUCUGAAGUGUACCGCCGGGUACCUAGAACCGGAAGUACUAAGUGUCGAGUGAACGAGGCAGUAAGACACUGAAUUAAAAAUACUGCAUUCGA